rnacentral:rRNA from 1 species
UACGUAGGGUGCAAGCGUUGUCCGGAAUUAUUGGGCGUAAAGAGCUUGUAGGCGGUUUGUCGCGUCUGCUGUGAAAUUUCGGGGCUCAACCCCGAACUUGCAGUGGGUACGGGCAGACUAGAGUGUGGUAGGGGAGACUGGAAUUCCUGGUGUAGCGGUGAAAUGUGCAGAUAUCAGGAGGAACACCGAUGGCGAAGGCAGGUCUCUGGGCCAUAACUGACGCUGAGACGCGAAAGCGUGGGGAGCGAACAGG